CCCUUAGAUGUUCUGGGCCGCACGCGCGCUACACUGAUGCAUUCAACAAGCCUAGCCUUGACCGAGAGGUCCGGGUAAUCUUUGAAACUGCAUCGUGAUGGGGCUAGAUUAUUGCAAUUAUUAAUCUUCAACGAGGAAUGCCUAGUAAGCGUGAUUCAUCAAAUCGCGUUGAAUACGUCCCUGCCCUUUGUACACACCGCCCGUCGCUCCUACCGAUUGAGUGGUCCGGUGAGGCUUUGGGAUCUGAGCGGAAAGAGCGUUUCGCUGUUUCUGCCCGGAAAACUCAGUCGAACCUUAUCAUUUAGAGGAAGGAGAAGUCGUAACA
rnacentral:rRNA from 1 species